GACGUGAAACGCCACAGCUCUGCUUCCUUUGAGAACGUGUGGCUGCGGCCUGGGGAGCUCGGGGGAGCCCCCAAGGAGCUGGCCCAAGUGUGCGGGGCCGCCGGGGGUUUGGAGAAUGGGCUUAACUACAUAGACCUGGAUUUGGUCAAGGACUUCAACCAGAGCCCUCAAGAGCGUCCCGCCCCGCCGCAGCCUUCUCCUCCCCCACCUCCUCAUCAGCCUCUGGGACGCAGCGAGAGCGGCUCCACCAGCCGCUCCAGCGAGGAUUUAAGCGCCUAUGCCAGCAUCAGUUUCCAGAAGCCGCCAGAGGACCUCCAGUAGCUCAUCUGGACAUCACAGCAGAAUGAAGACCUAAAUGACCUCAGCAAAUCCUCCUUUAACUCAUGGGUACCCAGACUCUAAAUAUUUCAUGAUUCACAACCAGGACCUCACAUCUUCCUCCUCAGUAGAUGGUACGAUGCACCCAUUUCAGUUUGUUUACUUUACACAAUCCUCAGGAGUUUGUUGACUGAACUGCACGUUCUAUAUCGUGCCAAGAAAAAAGCACUGUGACACCAGAACAAUGAGUCUGCAUAAACUUCAUCUUCGACCUUAAGGACUUAGCUGGCCACAUGAGCUGAUGUGCCCCCCACCGUGCCACAAGAGAAUGGGUUUACGCUCAUUGCAUUUACAAGACACAUUUCAUCUGCUGCUGAAACCGUGUACGACAGAGCAUCAUUGUAAAUUAUUUCAUACGGAACUGUUUGCUUUGGGUGGAGAGAGUAUUAAAUAUUUAACAUAGGUUUUUGAUUUAUAAGUGUAAUUUUUUUAAUUAAAAUGUAACUUUUCUUACAGCACAUCUUUUUUUGGGAUGUGGAACUGAGGUAUACAAUGUUCUGUUGUAAAGAGUGGAGCAAAUGCUUAAAACAAGGCUAACAAGAGUAGAGUAGGGUACGAUCCUUGUUUUAAGAUUGUAAUUCAGAAAAGUAAUAUAAUAAGAAUCAUAGUGCCAUAGAUGGUUCUCAAUUGUAUAGUUCUAUUUGCUGAUACUAUCUCUUGUAAUAUAGCCCUGAUGUUGAGCUGAGAUCCUUUCAAGAGCUGAUCUUAAUUUCGUAAUUUUUUUUUCCUGUAAGGCAAUAGGCCAUGUUAAUUAAACUGAAGAAGGGUAUAUUCUACUGGGUAUUUUCAAGUGUCAGCUUAAAAUUGGCAAUUGAAUGGAAGCAAAAUUACAAGAAAAGGCAUUCAGUGUCUUCCAUUGUAUAUACUGUAAAGAGGAGGCGACAUGGGUGAUCCCUUGGAAUCAAAAGCUCUCUUUGGAAUGAACAAUGUGGGUGUUUGUAAAUUCUGGAAAUUUCUUUCUAUUCAUAAUAAACUAGAGACUGUUGAUCUUUUCUUCUCCCCUCCCCCACUCCUGUAAGCUUCCUGUUCCAUUGCCACCAUUUUUUUUUUCUGUUGCACACGUUAGGAUCUUUCAUUUCCUGCACUGUCUCUAGAAAGAUGUAAGACAAGUGAAUACUUUUCUUUCAUUUCUAACCAGAAAUUAAAAUUCCAGAACAUGUUUUUUUAUCAUG
ensembl:lncRNA